UGAGGAAUAUUGGUCAAUGGUCGCGAGACUGAACCAGCCAAGUAGCGUGCAGGAUGACGGCCCUCCGGGUUGUAAACUGCUUUUAUUGGGGAAUAAAGUGAGGCACGUGUGCCUUUUUGUAUGUACCCAUAUGAAUAAGCAUCGGCUAAUUCCGUGCCAGCAGCCGCGGUAAUACGGAAGAUGCGAGCGUUAUCCGGAUUUAUUGGGUUUAAAGGGAGCGUAGGCGGGACGGUAAGUCAGCGGUCAAAUGUCCGUGCUCAACGCGGUCAUGCCGUUGAAACUGUCGUUCUUGAGUGCAUGCGGGGAAAGUGGAAUUCGUGGUGUAGCGGUGAAAUGCUUAGAUAUCACGAAGAACUCCGAUAGCGAAGGCAUCUUUCCGGCCUGCAACUGACGCUGAGGCUCGAAAGUGCGGGGAUCAAACAGG
rnacentral:rRNA from 1 species